rnacentral:rRNA from 1 species
GACGAACGCUGGCGGCGUGCCUAAUACAUGCAAGUCGAACGCAGUGGGGACGAGUGAGUAACACGUGGGUAAACUCCCAGCAGAGGGGAUAACACGUGGAAACAGGUGCUAAACCGAUAAGGGUGGAUGGUCCCGCGGUGCAUUCGCUAGUUGGGGAGGUAACGGCUCACCAAGUCCACGAUGCAUAGACGACCUGGAGGGGGUAUCGGCAAAAGUGGGACUGGGAACCGGCCCAGACUCCGAAGGGAGGCAGCAGUAGGGAAUGUUCGGAAAUGGACGAAAGUCUGACCGAGCAACGCCGGGUUAGUGAAGAAGGGUUUCGGAGCGUAAAACUCUUUUGUUAGAGAAGCGGUAUCUAACCAGAAAGCCACGGCUAACUACGGGCCAGCAGCCGCGGUAAUAC